rnacentral:rRNA from 1 species
AGAGUUUGAUCCUGGCUCAGAUUGAACGCUGGCGGCAUGCCUUACACAUGCAAGUCGAACGGCAGCACGGGAGCAAUCCUGGUGGCGAGUGGCGAACGGGUGAGUAAUACAUCGGAACGUGUCCUGGAGUGGGGGAUAGCCCGGCGAAAGCCGGAUUAAUACCGCAUACGCUCUGAGGAGGAAAGCGGGGGAUCUUCGGACCUCGCGCUCAAGGGGCGGCCGAUGGCAGAUUAGCUAGUUGGUGGGGUAAAGGCCUACCAAGGCGACGAUCUGUAGCUGGUCUGAGAGGACGACCAGCCACACUGGGACUGAGACACGGCCCAGACUCCUACGGGAGGCAGCAGUGGGGAAUUUUGGACAAUGGGCGCAAGCCUGAUCCAGCAAUGCCGCGUGUGUGAAGAAGGCCUUCGGGUCGUAAAGCACUUUUGUCCGGAAAGAAAACUUCCGCCCUAAUACGGUGGGGGGAUGACGGUACCGGAAGAAUAAGCACCGGCUAACUACGUGCCAGCAGCCGCGGUAAUACGUAGGGUGCAAGCGUUAGUCGGAAUUACUGGGCGUAAAGCGUGCGCAGGCGGUCCGUUAAGACAGAUGUGAAAUCCCCGGGCUUAACCUGGGAACUGCAUUUGUGACUGGCGGACUCGAGUAUGGCAGAGGGGGGUAGAAUUCCACGUAGCAGUGAAAUGCGUAGAGAUGUGGAGGAAUACCGAUGGCGAAGGCAGCCCCCUGGGCCAAUACUGACGCUCAUGCACGAAAGCGUGGGGAGCAAACAGGAUUAGAUACCCCUGUAGUCC